rnacentral:rRNA from 1 species
ACGGGAGGCAGCAGUGGGGAAUAUUGCACAAUGGGCGCAAGCCUGAUGCAGCGACGCCGCGUGAGCGAAGAAGUAUUUCGGUAUGUAAAGCUCUAUCAGCAGGGAAGAUCAUGACGGUACCUGACUAAGAAGCACCGGCUAAAUACGUGCCAGCAGCCGCGGUAAUACGUACGGUGCAAGCGUUAUCCGGAUUUACUGGGUGUAAAGGGAGCGUAGGCGGUCUAGCAAGUCUGAUGUGAAAACCCGGGGCUCAACUUCGGGAUUGCAUUGGAAACUGUCAGACUAGAGUGUCGGAGGGGUAAGUGGAAUUCCUAGUGUAGCGGUGAGAUGCGUAGAUAUUAGGAGGAACACCAGUGGCGAAGGCGGCUUACUGGACGAUUACUGACGCUGAGGCUCGAAAGCGUGGGGAGCAAACAGGAUUAGAUACCCUGGUA